rnacentral:rRNA from 1 species
UACGAGGGGUGCAAGCGUUACUCGGAAUUACUGGGCGUAAAGCGUGCGUAGGUGGUUGUUUAAGUCUGUCGUGAAAGCCCUGGGCUCAACCUGGGAAUUGCGAUGGAUACUGGGCGACUAGAGUGUGGUAGAGGAUAGUGGAAUUUCCGGUGUAGCAGUGAAAUGCGUAGAGAUCGGAAGGAACAUCUGUGGCGAAGGCGACUAUCUGGGCCAACACUGACACUGAGGCACGAAAGCGUGGGGAGCAAACAGG